rnacentral:rRNA from 1 species
UACAGAGGGGGCAAGCGUUGUUCGGAAUUACUGGGCGUAAAGGGCGCGUAGGCGGCCGCCUAAGUCAGACGUGAAAUCCCUCGGCUCAACCGGGGAACUGCGUCUGAUACUGGGUGGCUUGAAUCCGGGAGAGGGAUGCGGAAUUCCAGGUGUAGCGGUGAAAUGCGUAGAUAUCUGGAGGAAUACCGGUGGCGAAGGCGGCAUCCUGGACCAUUACUGACGCUGAGGCGCGAAAGCUAGGGGAGCAAACGGG